rnacentral:rRNA from 1 species
GUAGUCCACGCCCUAAACGAUGGGUGCUAGCUGUCGGGAGGUUACCUCCCGGUGGCGCAGCUAACGCGUUAAGCACCCCGCCUGGGGAGUACGGUCGCAAGACUAAAACUCAAAGGAAUUGACGGGGACCCGCACAAGCGGUGGAACAUGUGGUUUAAUUCGAGGCAACGCGAAGAACCUUACCAGGCCUUGACAUGCCCUCUAUGGGCUCCAGAAACGGAGUCCUUCACCUCGGGUGGGAGGAGCACAGGUGCUGCAUGGCUGUCGUCAGCUCGUGUCGUGAGAUGUUGGGUUAAGUCCCGCAACGAGCGCAACCCUCAUCCUCUGUUGCUAACAGGUAAUGCUGAGAACUCUGAGGAAACUGCCCGUGAUAAGCGGGA